GCACUGCACCGAGCUUGCACAGGGCGAGGCGGGGGCAGGACCUGGGACCCAGCCACCCCGGAGGAAACCGGAGAGGAAACCAGCUUGGUCUUGCUCUCUGCCUCGUCCCAAUCCCCGGCUCUUACCAAAUGCAGAUCCGUUGGCUGAAUGCCUUUUAGUCUGCAUACAUGCAUCUCAUACCGCACAGCCCAAAUUUCUACAACUUGUCCAGGUGCAGUCUCCUCAGAACUACAAAGCAAGAAAAGAUCACCUUUGGGCUCAGGAACUCACAGUCGUUCUCCCUCUCCCGGAAGGCACAAUGACCAGGACAGUACCGAGCUUUACAGCCAUAUUGAACUCACCAUCAACUCAGCACAUUCAACUCAAUCAGUCAAAAUCGUCUUUUCCUGCUGGUAAAUAACACUGAAAUUGUGGGAAGAUGGGAUGGUAAGAACAAAGUCUGUCUCUGGAAGCACGGGCGCUGUCUCUGAAGACAAAUUGAUCGUAACACAAGCAGACCCGGUGGAACGACCUCCAUGCUGAACCCUCAGCUCCCCCUGCAUUUGGACCAUGGCCUGAUGGAAGGUGCGAGAAACCCUGUGACCACGUUACAGCACAGGGGCAGCUUGGCCAGGCCACCCCUUGGGCCUAAUUUUUCUCCCUGGCCAAAGGGGUCAGACUAUUCCAGUGCUGUCUGCUCCCUGGCCUCCAGAGUAAUCAAACACACAUGUUUGGCGCUCCACUAAUCAGGGAAUGAAAUAAAGCUAGAUGUUUCCAUAUGUUGAUUCAAUUUACAAGCAAAAGUAAGUGUCAGGUAGGGGGCACAACAGUAAGGGGUGAGCAGUGAAGAAAUGAUUCCACAAUGACGUUUCGUAAGGAGCAAAAAGAUGAGGAAGAAAAGGGGAGACACAUCAUUGAAGGCCAGGCUCUGUGACAAUUUAUAUUUGCCUAUAUAUCUGUAUCUCUCUCUGUCUUAUCUAAUGAAAUACCAACAACAACCUGAGAACAGUUCUGUCUUCCGUCACAGAUAAAGAGACUGAUCUCAGAGUGGUACAGAUCUACAACCACGUGAAGAAUUGGAUUUAUAUUCAUCUGACUCCAGAAAGUUCCUGAGAUUCCUCUGCUUCAUCAUCUUUCCCAUGCCCUUUAAAACACGUUAUCAAAUAGCAACAGGUGGUGCAAUAACUAGACAAAUGAUUCUCAGCCUUUUUCUUUGCCAUUAGCACUCCCGGAAGGAGACGUGUUGGACACUUUUCCUUGUCACCACCCCAUGAACCUUCCAUACCACAGGUAUACUGUGUAUUCGGUUAUGUAUCAUCUGUACAUCUGUUUCUAAAACACAGAAACAGUAAGAGCCCCCCAUCCAAGAAUCCAUUUUAAUCCUCUUGGGUGUGAUGUCACCCCCCAAAAAUGCAUAUGCUCUGGAGUCAGUCACAAACACAUUACGAAUGCAUGAUCACUUAAGAAUGUUACCAAAGUUUAUAAAUUUGAGAUGAUAAUUCUAUGUUAUUUAGUUCAUUUUAGAGAUAAGUAAGAACCAGAGAUUCCAGAGAGGUAGACCAAGCUGACAGAGCAAGGAAAGGCAGAGCCAGACAUGCAGCUGAAGCAUCUGAAUUCCCACUCUAGUGCUCCAGCUUAACCUGGAUGAUCAGUAAAUGGUUGCUUUUCAAUGUGCUCUCAACACUUCCCACACUGCCUCCUUCAUUAAUAAAGGAAUGGUAUUUUGGGAGAAACCAGAAUCUGCCCUGGGGCAAUAGAAAGGCAGCAAAGCAACCUGCAUUCAAGUCUUUGGGGGAUUUUUUGGAAAGCAGAGUGUAUUAGUCUGCUAUUGCUGCUGUAACAAAUUACCAUAAAUUUAGUGGCUUAAAACAACACACAUUUGUUGUCUUAAAGUUCUGGAGGUCAGAGCCCAAAAUGGGUCUCAUGGAGCUCAAAUCAAGAUGUCAGAAGGGCUGUGUUCCUUUGGAAGGCCCUUGGGGAGAAUCUGUUCCAUGCCUUCUCCAGUUCCUGGAAGUCACCUGCUUGCUUUGGCUGUGGGGCACUUCCAGCAACUGCAUCACUCUAACCUCUGCAACCAUAGCACGUCUCCCUUUUCUGACUCUCACCCUCUUCUUUCUUUCCCUUAUAAGGACAAUUGUAGUACAGGAUAAUCUCCCCAUUUCAAAAUCCUUUACUUAAUCACAUCUGCAAAGUCCGUCUUGGCCUAUAAGGUGACAUACUUGCAGAUUCCAGAAAUUAGAAUUUGGACGUCUUUGGGUGGCUGUUAUUAUGCCUGCCACACAGACCAAUGCAUACACAAUGUGACCAAUCCAUCAUGAUUUGUCUGAGACUAUAUUGGCUUUAAAGCUGAAAGUUCUGCAUCCCAGGAAUCGCCUCAGUCCCAGGCAAUUCAGGACAAUUCGUCGUCACCCUAUGUGCACCUCCUAUGUGCUCCUUCAACUUAGAGAGUUGGUGUUUUCUCUCCUCUUCAAAGGACUAACUCCUUUUCACCUAAAGAGUACACAGAGGCUGGGUGUAGUGGUUUAGGCCUGUACUCUGUGCAUUUGGGACACUGAGGCAGGAGGUUCACUUGAGCCCAGGAGUUUGAGACCAUUCACGGCAACAUAGUGAGAUCCUUUCUCUACAAAUUUUUUAAAAAAUUAGUUGGGCAUGGUGGCACAUGCCUGUAGUCCCAGAUACUUGGCAGGCUAAGGAGGAAGGAUCCCCUGAGCCCGGGAUUCAAGGCUGCAGUGAGCUAUGAUAGUGCCACUGUACUGCAGCUGAGGCAAUAAAACGAGGCCC
ensembl:lncRNA LINC01550 long intergenic non-protein coding RNA 1550